UCAAAGUUCCAAGGAAUUUCAAGAAAUCCAGGUGAUGGUUAUACCCCAAAUAUUAUUGCAAAAUUGAAUUAAAGUGUAGUGUGGAGAAGCCAGCCCAUAAAUUUCCAAGUUUAGAGGGAACUCAAAGGUCCCAAGGCAAAGCUCAUAGGAAGGGGGCAGAACAUAGAAUUUAGGAGUAAGUGUAAGUGCAAUAGAUGGGGG
rnacentral:lncRNA from 1 species